GGGGCGGUCGCCUCCCAAAAGGUAACGGAGGCGCUCAAAGGUUCUCUCAGUACGGUCGGAAAUCGUACGUAGAGUGUAAAGGCAAAAGAGAGCUUGAUUGCAAGACAUACAGGUCGAGCAAGGAUGAAAAUCGGACUUAGUGAUCCGGUGGUUCUGCGUGGAAGGGCCAUCGCUCAACGGAUAAAAGCUACCCUGGGGAUAACAGGCUUAUCUCCCCCAAGAGUCCACAUCGACGGGGAGGUUUGGCACCUCGAUGUCGGCUCAUCACAUCCUGGGGCUGUAGUAGGUCCCAAGGGUUGGGCUGUUCGCCCAUUAAAGUGGUACGCGAGCUGGGUUCAGAACGUCGUGAGACAGUUCGGUCCCUAUCCGUCGCAGGCGUAGGAAAUUUGAGAAGACCUGUCCUUAGUACGAGAGGACCGGGAUGGACGUACCUCUGGUGUACCAGUUGUUCUGCCAAGGGCAUGGCUGGGUAGCUAUGUACGGAAUGGAUAAGCGCUGAAAGCAUCUAAGCGCGAAGCCAACUUCAAGAUAAGAUUUCCCACCGCAAGGGUAAGACCCCAGAAAGACUAUCUGGUUGAUAGGUCGAAGGUGUAAGUGCAGCAAUGUAUUUAGCUUAUCGAUACUAAUAGGUCGAGGACUUGACCAAUAUU
rnacentral:rRNA from 1 species